UGGCCCGGCUCCGUUGUCACAUGUGCGACUGACGGCCCCGGCUACCGGGUAUGACAUCUGAAGCCAGGUUAGGGCGCACGUGAGGAGAAGGCACCACUCGAGUGGAAUAAGGGGUGGUGAUCGGGCGAGUGUAUUCGUGUGUGUGUGUGUGUGAUUCUGUGCCUCACCUCUGAUAAUGGCCAGCUUUGCGGUGACGGACACCUCUCCUCCACUGUUGCGUGCCACACACUCGUAGAUGUUCUCAUCGCGGGGAGCUCUGAGAGGUUGGAUCCUCAGCACAGCGCCUGCGCCCUCAUCAAACUCGAUGGUCUGGACAACCACAGGAAAAUACCCAUCAGUCACAGCAGAGGACACACAUGGAACACUAGCAACACAAGAGGUCAGGCACAGAUGCAGAACAUGUACCUGGAGACAUGAUCCCGGAGCUGGCAGGGUCUGUCACAAAGACACUUCAGCUGGGAACAAACUUACCAGCAUUGGAGUAGACGGCAGGCUUGGGAUUACCAGAGGCCUGGCACACAAAUGAUGCCACGCCCCCUGACACUCCGAUCUGGUCUGUGGGAAUCUUGGUGAACUUUGGGGGACCUGGGAGACAGAGACAGACAGAGAGGAAGGGAUGGAGGGAGAGAAAAAGAAAAAGAAAGAAAAAUCAAAACACAAGCAUGAAAAUUGACACCCUUUACACCCAAGGGACAUCAAAACGACCGGCAACAACACCCUGCUGACCACGCCCCAUUUUUUCUGUCGGUGACUGCCUGGUCAGGCCGACUUGUGUUCUGAUGGCUGUGUGUUGUGCUUACUUCCUGGGUAUCAUCUAGAGGACACGCUGAAGGACUUCCUGUGGGUCAUAAAUAAAAGAUGGGGUUGGGCUUCGGAGGAA